rnacentral:rRNA from 1 species
GUGAAAUUGUUGAAAGGGAAGCGCUUGCAACCAGACCUGCCUGCAGUUGCUCAUCCGGGCUUUUGCCCGGUGCACUCUUCUGCUGUCAGGCCAGCAUCAGUUCGGGCGGUCGGAUAAAGGCUUCGGGAAUGUAGCUCCUCUCGAGGAGUGUUAUAGCCCGUUGCGAAAUGCGGCCAGCCUGAACUGAGGUCCGCGCUUCGGCUAGGAUGCUGGCGUAAUGGUUGUAAGCGGCCCGUCUUGAAACACGGACCAAGGAGUCUAACAUCUGUGCGAGUGUUUGGGUGUCAAACCCGUACGCGUAAUGAAAGUGAACGGAGGCGGGAACCCCUCGGGGUGCACCGUCGACCGAUCCUGAUGUCUUCGGAUGGAUUUGAGUAAGAGCAUAGCUGUUGGGACCCGAAAGAUGGUGAACUAUGCCUGAAUAGGGUGAAGCCAGAGGAAACUCUGGUGGAGGCUCGCAGCGGUUCUGACGUGCAAAUCGAUCGUCAAAUUUGGGCAUAGGGGCGAAAGACUAAUCGAACUAUCUAGUAGCUGGUUCCUGCCGAAGUUUCCCUCAGGAUAGCAGUAACGUUUUCAGUUUUAUGAGGUAAAGCGAAUGAUUAGAGGCCUGGGGGUUGAAACAACCUUCACCUAUUCUCAAACUUUAAAUAUGUAAGAAGUCCUUGUUGCUUAGUUGAACGUGGACAUUUGAAUGUAUCGUUACUAGUGGGCCAUUUUUGGUAAGCAAAACUGGC